ACCGAUGUGGCCUAAUGGAUAAGGCGCCGGCCUCCGGAGCUGGAGAUUGUGGGUUCGAGUCCCGCCAUCGGUA
rnacentral:tRNA from 1 species